CCGUUUUGCUCUCUUCCCUCUAUUCUUUUCUUCUUCUUCCCACAACCGAGAGCCUCAAAGGCUAACCACAUCGCCACUCGCACCAUCGGCCACCAUGACCGACGCUUGACCACCGCCCCAAUGGCCUCUACACCGUUUCUCUCCUCUCUACUACGGUGAAGAUCCAAACACAACAAAGGUUUCCCGAGCAACCUUCAAUGGUUCGGUCUCAAACCUGGUGGCUCAAAUCGCAGGAUCCAGCUGUGAGAGGGAAGGCAUCUGGCCAGUCUAAAUUUGGAGGCCUAUUUUCAAAGUCCACAUUCUGUUCACAGAGCAAAUGCUGGAGAAAGUGAGAAUUUUGCGGGAAGCUUUUUCAGAGGCAUCUUUGCAUGCUAGUUCAGGCAAACCAUCAGUUAUUUUCAUUGAUGAAAUAGAUGCUCUCUGCCCUAGUCGUGGUUCAAGGCUGGAAUGAAUGAUUUUUCCUUCUUUUGGUAAUUGUAUUUGGAUGUGGUUGAACAACAAGUUCUUUACCACAAGUUGUUGUGGUUGCAUCAAUUAAUAGUCAUAGGUAUUUUCUCCAUCAAGAGUGGAUGCAAUCGACCCAGCUCUAAGAAGGUCAGGGCGUUUUGAUGAUGAAGUUGAAGUGACCACACCUAAUGAAGAAGAAGGGUUUCAAAUUCUCAAGCUUUAUACGAGGAAGGUUCCUUUGGAUCCCAGUGUUGACUUACAACUUACAAGCUGUAGCUGUUGAGUGGCCUAUCAAUGGGGAGACAAUCUCGAAGAAGGUGUCUACUGCUGCUGACUUCAUUUGGUCUGAUUCUCCUCUUGAAAUCCUUGGUUCGGUUGCUACCAUAACCUUUGAGGAUCCAGCUUCAUUGCCUAUUAAGGAUCACAGUUCUACCUCAGAAGAGGUCAAAGCUCUUUGUGAUGAUUUGUGUGUUCUACAAAAGCAGGAUUUCAAGUAUCUUUUGAAGUAAGAAACAUAAUUGUUUUCAGUUUUUCCCUUUUGAGAUUUUUAAGUCUAAACAAUUUGUGAUAAUAAGAAAAUAUGUGAGUAAAGCUAUAAUCAGAGCACUAGGUACAUACUACUGUGAGUGGGAACUUAAUUUGACAUGUUGCAAUCUUUUGUAAGUAAACUUGACAUGUUGCUGCCAUUUGUA